CUGUUCCAGGCUUCGUGUGUUCUCAUUCUUGUUUAUUAGUUUUGUCCUUUGGUCAUUUCUGAGUUCCUUGCACGCUUCAAAAUUUGGAACUUCUUGUUAUUAUUCUUUUAAAUCAUUAUUCAUUCCUUAGUUUUAUUUUUAAUAUUAGAAUUUUAAAUCAGUAUUCAAUCUGAACCUUUCUUCAAUACAAACUGCAUACUGUAGCUCUGAAACUGUAGCUGACAUGGUUCAGUCUUCUAUUUAGUUUUCAAUCAUAUAAAUGUAUUUCAGAUCAACAUUGAGCAGUUAGUUUUGUAGAACCACGUAAGCAGAAUUUCUUAUUAUUUUCAACGUUGUUGCUGGAUAAGCAAUGGUCAGCACAUCACUGUUUUUUAAUUCAUGUGGUUUUCUAUAGUCAUUAUUUUUGUAGGAGAUCAUUUGUAAGCCAUGGUUUGUUUCAUUUAGUCUUUUUGUCCCUUUAGAGGAUUUCAACAGUUUUUUAGGUCAGUCAUAUAGAGAAGGGAAGGCCGGGCAAGGGUAGCACUGCAAGUUCCACAUUGCGGGCUCGUGGUAGCUAGGAUAGAUUUUUUUUCUGUAGGAUGAUUUAUAGAUGGGGGUUCGCUAUAUGCGAUCAGGAGGAUAGUUAUAUCUAGCAAGUGCGCUAGGUAGCAAAUGAGGACGCUGUGUCCCAGCACUUGAUCGAAACUAGAGGUAAAUUAACACAACUCUUGAUGUAUUUGUUUGAGAUAAUGCUUAACUAUUUGUUUUCUUUUGUAAUUCCCUCUUAUUGAUUCCAUCUUUCCUCUGUUGGGUUAGUCCACACCAUGGUUGCAGAGGAGGACCAAGAAGUAGUAGCAUCCGGAUUAUCAGGAGAAAAAAGCAAGGACCAACGACAAAAAGCAGAUCGGGGAAAGGAAAAACUGCAUUGACAGCUAAGCUAGGGAGAUCAGAUCAUAUUGUCCUCUUGAUUGAAUCAAUCUGGGGGAAGGGAGACAUCCUCAUCCUGCUGCUGCUCGGCCUGGUGGCAUCGAACUACAUGCGUGAAUGCAGUAGUAGUAUGGGCUGGCUGGUGCUGGAUGAUGGAAAGCUAUGGAAUCUGAACAUUUUGCAGAACUGACCCCCGCUUCGACGCCGAAAAGGUCGAAGGGAUCAAGCGCCUCCACGUCUCCCCACAGGUUCGCUUCGGUUCAUCCUGUCCUCUCACGCCGUGGAAAUUCGGACUGGUUUGUUGUUCGCAUUCAGCACCGGUGGUCAAGGUGGUCAAGAGAGAACGUGGCGGCGCAGUCGUUGGAGGUGAAGAAGCUCGUCUACUCCUGCCUCCUGUACUACCCCGAGAAGAAAGAAGUCUACAUUUGGAGGAUCUCAGAGGGGAUAUAUGGCCAUCGGGGAACUAAAUGCCGAAGUUUGAUCUUUCAGAGGGUGGAGCGAUCCUAGUUUGACCGAUGGAGCUUGUAGCGCCACGCUGCCUAUGAGUAGUCCGGUUUAUUAUGAAAUUUUUAGUAUAUUUAAGAAGUAUUGAACUUGUAUUAUUAGGGUUGUCAUCACCAUACCGGCACCCGUAUCUGUAGAAUAUAUGAUACUUGUUGUAUGUUGUUGUUGAACUCGCAAUAGAAGAAGAGAGUUUGAUGCUUUAAUUAA